rnacentral:tRNA from 2 species
CCCGUGCUAUCUAUAGCUCACUUAG